rnacentral:rRNA from 1 species
UGGGGAAUAUUGCACAAUGGGCGCAAGCCUGAUGCAGCCAUGCCGCGUGUGUUAAGAAGGCCUUCGGGUUGUAAAGCACUUUCAGCGGGGAGGAAGGCGAUAAGGUUAAUAACCUUGUCGAUUGACGUUACCCGCAGAAGAAGCACCGGCUAACUCCGUGCCAGCAGCCGCGGUAAUACGGAGGGUGCAAGCGUUAAUCGGAAUUACUGGGCGUAAAGCGCACGCAGGCGGUCUGUCAAGUCGGAUGUGAAAUCCCCGGGCUCAACCUGGGAACUGCAUUCGAAACUGGCAGGCUAGAGUCUUGUAGAGGGGGGUAGAAUUCCAGGUGUAGCGGUGAAAUGCGUAGAGAUCUGGAGGAAUACCGGUGGCGAAGGCGGCCCCCUGGACAAAGACUGACGCUCAGGUGCGAAAGCGUGGGGAGCAAACAGG